CUCCUGCCUCCCAGAGCCCCCAGGCCGGCAGAGGGCGCCCGAGGCUCCUUCCCUCCAGGUCCUGCCCACGAGGGAGGGCCAGUACCACCCACUGCCCGGAGCCAGGUCCGCUUUGUUCCCCCACCCGGAAGGAGGCCGCUGUGCCCAGGGGACGCCCAGCCACAGACCCCCGGGCCCUGAUGGCUCACAUUUGUCUCCUCCCGAGAUGAGCCUGGGGGGCCACCGGGCAGGGAGAGGACCUGCCCGCGGCUGGGGAUGGCAGCCACCGCAAGGAGGGAGAGUCAGCCCGUCACCCCCUGCCCAUCCAGGAGGACUCAGCAGCCCCCAGGGCCCGGGCAGCCCACACUUCUCACAGGCCUGCAGCCCCUUUCCCUCUCCCCGCUGUGUCUCUGAGAGUUUGUCAAGUGAUGUCCCCUGGCAGGGGGUGGGGGCAGAACACUGAAAUGGGAACAAGGAUCCCAUCAAAGACAAGCCCUACCAUCCUGCCCUAAAGCCAGUGCCCAGCUCUUCCUGCCCCUGGAGCCACUGGAGGGGCCUUCGAUUCCAUGAGGACCGAAGCCUGAGCUCUCCCUCGCCUUCCACCCUGAAACCCAGUCUCCUGGAGCUGUGGGAGCAGAGAUUACACACAGGGGUCAUUCAAGACCUGCCUCCGCUGCUUACAAGUUCAGGACCUUGGGUGGACACGAGGACCAGCAAGGCCGCAGAGCCCUGGUCUGGGGCUGGUGCCCCGUGUGCGGAAGUUGGCUGGUAUCACUGUGGCGAUUACUGCCUGCUGACUGCUUUCCUGGCCGGGCCUUUGGGGCCGGGUUUGGACCCCAGCAGAGAGCUACCCCGUAGGUGCUCACUCAACCUGGGACAUGAACAGGAUGGGGGCAGCCCCAGGAUGCUGCACCUGUGCCAUCAGCAAACAGCACGGGUCCCGGGGAGCCUGGCAAGAUGCUUUUCCAAGCAGUUAGUUAGUUUCUCUGGGGACUUGAGCAUCUGUUCCUGGUGGGGCUGAGCAAUCAAGCAGGUCCUUCCUCCUCUUUCUCCAGGAGGCAGGGGCUGGGCCCGGCCUCCUCAUCCCCUUCUCCCCCCUCCCCCCCAGUUGUCCACCAUAAUUAGGCUCAUUGCAGCUCAGGAAGGGGCGUCCGUGCCCCCUCUCCACCCCCAGACUCAGGGUGGCCCAGGCUGGGGGUCUCCCCUCCCUCAAGGGCAUUGCUGCCCCUUCUGAAGGUGGGUGGGGCGCCCUGGCCAAGCCUGCGGCAGGGGUGGGCUCUUCUGUCCUCCUCCCAUCCCAGCCCCCAGCCCUGCCUGGGCCCUCGCUCCGUGGUCAGGGGCGUGUGGGGCUCGCCAGGGCCCAGGCAGGCUGCUCUCGUCAUUAGCGGCCGGCCUCGCUCCAAGUGAAUUAGCUGGUCCUCGGGGAGCGGGUGCUGAGGCCUGCAGGCUCCUGGCACUGGCCAGUGAUUCAUUCCCACAGCCUCACCCCCGCCUGAGGCCAGCGGCGUCCCUGCCCCCAGCCCACCGGCCUGAUUGGAGGCUGAGGAGCGGGAGGCUGGUGCCCAGAGCAGCCCUGGCUGCCCAUCCAUCUGCCCCCUCAUCCUAUUAACCCGGCUGCUCCCGUGCCCUCCCGGUGGUGCUGGCCUCCAUCCGCCGGCCCCUCCCACACGCAGGCCUGGUGGCCCUGGCUCUGAGCCCGGCCCUGGUUCCGCCGACCUGGCCUGCCCCUCCAGGCUCUGUCUCUGCUCCCUUUGUCCCCUGGGCACCUCGAGUGACCCAGAGAGGCCCCCUCAUCCUUUCCCCCCGCCCUCUGGGCCUUCCUGCCCCCCUCAGCUGAGGCCCUGGGAUCCGCUUAACUGGUCUUGAUGAAAAACAGAGGCUCUACCCAUGUCGAAGAGGCUCCUGGUAACGGGCUGGGGCUGGUCCCCACCAGCCUGGGGCCGGGGCCCUGCUUAGAGCUAAGGUGGAUGCGAGGGCACAACCUUGGUCUCGGCCACAAAAGUCCUUAGGAACCCACUCGUGUCCCUUCAGGGACCCCCCCUCCCCCUUCCUUUACUCGGCAGGAGGUAGGCGUCCAGCAGCAGGUGCGAAGGAAUCGAUGCCUCCCCCCACAGCACAUGUGACGUCUCCGCAUCCACGCAGGUGACCUGCAUCUUGACAAACCUCUCUGGCUUGAAAACCCUCCUACUGCAGCUGCAGAGUGGAAAGCACCUGCAUCUCAGGGCCAGAGACCUGGAUGCGAGGGCAGGCCUAUUCUCUACAGGCUGGACCAUCACGCCUCUGAGCCAACAGGCCCUUGAGGUCACGUGGAGCUGAUCCCGCGCCCAGGCUGGCUGUGAGGAUUAGAGGCGUUUUAUCUUGUGCAGGGGAUGCGGGGCAUAGAGAUACCACCCCAAAGGCAGCCACAGAGGCCUCGCUCAACAUGCUCUUCCUGGGGGGGCCUCCCGAGCACAUAUGUGUGCAAUUUCCCCUUAUUGUUCUAUAAUCCUUGAUGGUUGCUCUGUAAUUGCUCUCAAAUGGUUUCAUUAUAAUAAAUAGCAUCUGCAGAGCAGUU